UUGAUUCAUUUCGCUCACUGGACGCGUCUCCGACGAUGAGAGUGUGGUCCUCCGGCGGGCGCGGGGGCCCGCCGAGGCAACGGGUAGGGUUCGCGGGUUUGGGAGUCGAAGCUCGGUAAUGAUCCCUCCGCUGGUUCACCAACGGAGA
rnacentral:misc_RNA from 1 species